AGAAUCAACGCUGGCGGCGUGCCUAACACAUGCAAGUCGAACGAGAAAGGGUAGCAAUACCUGAGUAAAGUGGCGCACGGGUGAGUAACACGUGACUAACCUACCUUUUAGUGGGGGAUAACCUAGGGAAACCUGGGCUAAUACCGCAUAAUACUUACGAGUCAAAGCAGCAAUGCGCUGAAAGAGGGGGUCGCGGUCGAUUAGUUAGUUGGCAGGGUAAUGGCCUACCAAGACUGUGAUCGAUAUCCGGCCUGAGAGGGCGCACGGACACACUGGAACUGAAACACGGUCCAGACUCCUACGGGAGGCAGCAGUGGGAAUUUUGCGCAAUGGGGGAAACCCUGACGCAGCAACGCCGCGUGGAGGAUGAAGUCCCUUGGGACGUAAACUCCUUUCGAUCGGGACGAUAAUGACGGUACCGGAAGAAGAAGCCCCGGCUAACUUCGUGCCAGCAGCCGC
rnacentral:rRNA from 1 species